rnacentral:rRNA from 1 species
UACAGAGGGGGCAAGCGUUGUUCGGAAUUACUGGGCGUAAAGGGCGCGUAGGCGGCCUGCUAAGUCGAACGUGAAAUCCCUGGGCUCAACCCAGGAACUGCGUCCGAUACUGGUUGGCUUGAAUCCGGGAGAGGGACGUGGAAUUCCAGGUGUAGCGGUGAAAUGCGUAGAUAUCGGGAAGAACACCAGUGGCGAAGGCGGCUGCCUGGCCUGUAACUGACGCUGAGACGCGAAAGCGUGGGGAGCGAACCGG